UACGUAGGGGGCAAGCGUUGUCCGGAUUUACUGGGCGUAAAGAGCGUGUAGGCGGCCACGCAGGUCCGUUGUGAAAACUGGAGGCUCAACCUCCAUCUGUCGACGGAAACCGUAUGGCUAGAGUCCGGAAGAGGAGAGUGGAAUUCCUGGUGUAGCGGUGAAAUGCGCAGAUAUCAGGAAGAACACCAAUGGCGAAGGCAGCUCUCUGGGACGGUACUGACGCUGAGACGCGAAAGCGUGGGGAGCGAACAGG
rnacentral:rRNA from 1 species